rnacentral:lncRNA from 1 species
UUUCAAGUUUGAAGAGCUAAAAUCCUUCUGAGAAAAAAUUCCACGAGCUGAUAUAUAGAGUUAAGAUUUCCAAAAGCGAAAAAAUCCAGAAAAUUCGAAACAGGCUAGAAAAAUCAUAACUUACUGUUUCAUUAAUUCUUUUCCUUGAGCUAUACGGAUUUAGACCUACUGAAGUCAUUUUCUGGUUCCUGAGGGGUUUUUAAUGGAUUGAAAUUCAAAUUUUCAAAGCUAGUUUUUGUAAGUUGGAUUUGAUGAUAUAUCUGGGGGUUUCAAGCGUUAAAUUGGGUAUGGAUCUUGAGUUCUUGCUAUUGAUUUCUACUACUGCCGCUGACUCCUCCCACUUCUUAUUUUCCUUACUCUCCGGGUACUUAUUUUCGAUACUGCAGAUGUACUCUUCUAUUUAAAGAAGAAAUAAGAGCUGAAUCAUGAAAAUUCUCUCUGUUUCUUUAUUUUUAAUUAAUCUUUACUAUUAGCCUUUGGUCUAAAUUAGCUUUUCAUAUAUGGUUUGUAAUAGUCAGUAAAAAUAAUAAAGUAUUCAUGGUUUAGUCUG